rnacentral:rRNA from 1 species
UGGGGAAUAUUGCGCAAUGGGCGGAAGCCUGACGCAGCGACGCCGCGUGGGGGAUGACGGCCUUCGGGUUGUAAACCUCUUUCGACUUCGACGAAGCCUUUCGGGGUGACGGUAGGGGUGGAAGAAGCACCGGCCAACUACGUGCCAGCAGCCGCGGUAAUACGUAGGGUGCGAGCGUUGUCCGGAAUUAUUGGGCGUAAAGAGCUCGUAGGCGGUGUGUCACGUCGGCCGUGAAAACCUGCAGCUUAACUGUGGGCGUGCGGUCGAUACGGGCAUCACUGGAGUUCGGCAGGGGAGACUGGAAUUCCUGGUGUAGCGGUGAAAUGCGCAGAUAUCAGGAGGAACACCGGUGGCGAAGGCGGGUCUCUGGGCCGAUACUGACGCUGAGGAGCGAAAGCGUGGGGAGCAAACA